UGGCGGUGGCGGUGGAUGGAAGUUAGGCGGUGGAAGUGGCGGAUUCGGCGGUAGUGGAUGGAAAUCAGGCGGUGGUGGAGGUGGCGGUUGGAGCGGUGGCGGAGGUGGAUGGUGGUAACGUUCAUGCCGCUCACGAACAACUGGGGAGCAAAACUUGCUCGCUGAUCAUCCACGAGUAUCUUGACCGUAACCAUCGAUCGUCGUCGAUCAGAAAAAUCAAUUCGCGCCAAUUUCUUUUCCGUCCUACGAUUCUCGUUGAAGACUGCCAUCGGAAAAACAAAUCGAAUUAACAGUAAAUUCGCGUGUUGCGUCGAAAAACUUUCUAUCACCAAAUAAUUUCCUAAUACUUUCCGUAUAUAUUUUCAAAUAAAUCCGCAACAGAAAAAGCCGGAGACACAUAUAAAACACUUUCUUUGUUGCUUUUACUCUUUGCUAUCAAGUAUAUCUCUUGAAAACAAUGAACGAUAUUGUUGCCUCUCGCUUCCGGCUAUUCGAAUUUGCCGCCAUGUCGUUUAAGGCGAAACGACUUCUUUCUCGACGGCACAUUUUCCUCUUCUUACCACCUGCCGCUCGCCUCCUUCUCGCAAUUCAGAAAAUCGGCGAACGUUCCGAGCGAAUCAUGCGCCCUGAUAUUUCAAUUCCACUCCCUCGCACGAUCUUCCUUCCGCCCUCCUCAUCUUCCAUUUACUUCUUUCUUUUCGUGCUCUCUUUCGAGGAUCAGGAGAGCGAGGCGCGUCUCUCCGGCAUGACAUUUAGCUCAUUUAAAAAGCGCAGAAUCCUGAAGGAUUGCUACAGCUGUCUUGGGAGCAAUUGGAAAGAAGAAUAUCGAAGGAAUAAAAUUACACUUGACAAAAAAAGCGCAGUGAUGACCGCACUUUUCCUUUUCUUUCUACUGUAUAGAUCACAUUCAACUCAAAACGAACCACAAUAAACGAAUCAUAUUGAUAUAAUAA